rnacentral:rRNA from 1 species
AUUGAACGCUGGCGGCAUGCUUUACACAUGCAAGUCGAACGGUAACAGGCCUUCGGGCGCUGACGAGUGGCGAACGGGUGAGUAAUGCAUCGGAACGUGCCCAGUCGUGGGGGAUAACGCAGCGAAAGCUGUGCUAAUACCGCAUACGAUCUGUGGAUGAAAGCGGGGGACCUUCGGGCCUCGCGCGAUUGGAGCGGCCGAUGUCAGAUUAGGUAGUUGGUGGGGUAAAGGCCCACCAAGCCGACGAUCUGUAGCUGGUCUGAGAGGACGACCAGCAACGCUGGGACUGGGACACGGCCCAGACUCCUACGGGAGGCAGCAGUGGGGAAUUUUGGACAAUGGGCGCAAGCCUGAUCCAGCAAUGCCGCGUGCAGGAAGAAGGCCUUCGGGUUGUAAACUGCUUUUGUACGGAGCGAAAAGGCUCCCUCUAAUACAGGGGGCUCAUGACGGUACCGUAAGAAUAAGCACCGGCUAACUACGUGCCAGCCGCCGCGGUAAUAC